UGGCGUGUAAGCAUAAUGGUACUGCACUCCGCUGUUAACGGAGCUUCCGAAAGGUCUUUUAGGUUCGAGUCCUACCGCGUCAGCCA
rnacentral:tRNA from 3 species